GGCUACCACACUUCUUCAGGAACUGCUGGGCAGUGCUUGCCCUUUGAACAUGCUAGGACCCUAACUUGCACCCUUGCUACAACUGUGAAACCUGUCACGAUUUAAAAAUCACAGCCCUGAUGUCACUCCAGGCAGGAACCAUAUUUUCUUCUGGGCCUUGUUUUGCAUCCAGCACACCAUCAGCACUUACCAGAUAAUUAAUAAAACUUGACUACAAUACCUGAACAAUAAAGGAAUCCUGCCUCCUCAAAGAGCUGUGAAGAGGUUGUAGUGGACAAAGACUCGGCGGGGUUUUAGAAUGGCUCGUGGCUUACUGCUCUCCCGAGAUGCCUCCAAGGUAACAUCCCGCUUGGUGUUUCGGUCAAACAUUCGAAAGAAGUUGUUAUAUGCACCUGUCAUAAUAACACUGAAGCGGGAGAAAACAAAAGCAAGAAUAAAUAGCAGAAUACACUAACUCGACCACGAACGGGAGUGGAUCAGUACAGUACAAUUAUUUUUCCCAGCCAUGUAAUUGAAGUCUAUGGAGUUCAGAAACUUGUGUUACGGUGCAGUUUAAUAUAUAUGGACUUUUGAGUUUACAUGGUUUCUCAUCAUCUCAUGGCAUUUAAUAUACUGUAAGGUUGCUUCAGUAUCGCUAAUCCCAAGUAUUCAAAAAUCAUGAGUCAGAACCCUAAAAUCACUGGAUUGAUUAGAAAAUAAUGAGAUUUAAAAAUAAUAAUUCUUGGGUUCUUUUUAUUUGGAGUCUAAUUCUUGGGC